rnacentral:lncRNA from 1 species
AAUAGCAAGCUGUCUGAGGACAGGGUAGAACCUGAAAGUAAGAGCUCAUUGAAAAACUGUCCUGUAUUUCUUAAUAACAAAAAUUUUCCAGUUUGGAUAUUUAACAUUUGAAGGAUUUACACAAACAUUGUGAAUUUAAAAAAUUAGUUUUGAAGACAGGAUUUAUAUUCUUUGGGCAUACUAAAUUCAGUUCGGAUUGAUGAUAAUAUGUUUGGAUUUUAAUUUGACUAGGACAGGAUUUGGACUAUUUUCUUUUGCAUAUUAGAUUUGAUUUUACGGCCAUUUGACAUUUUAAGAAUUUAACAAGAGAAAGGCAUGUGCUAAGGUUAUGGAAGCAGCGAAGGAUUAUCAACCCUGGUUUGGUAUAGAACAAGAAUAUACUUUACUGGACUUUGACGGCAAGCCGUUAGGGUGGCCGAAGAAUGGUUCACCCUGGCCUGAAGGUACAUUGAAGAUGCCAUUGAGAAAAUGUCGAAGAAACAUAAAGAACAUAUUCUUGUGUACGACCCGCAUCAAGGCAAGGACAACGAAAGACGCCUGACGGGACUCCACGAUACGUCAAAUUUCCACGUUUUUUCGGCUGGUGUCGAAAAACGAGGUGUUAGUAUAAGAAUUCCCCUUCAUGUGGCGGAAGCUGGAUGUGGUUAUUUUGAAGACAGACGUCCUUCUUCCAAUUGUGAUCCGUACUCGGUAGCUGAGGUCAUUGUACAGACAACAUUAUUAGAGUAACUUUCGACAUUGUGUGAUCGCGCCAGUCUUAAAGCAGUUUCUAUUCUGCAAACUUCUUGAAUAGCAGCUUACAUACAUUUUGUUACGAAAUAGCUUUAUUUGAAUGUUUCUGUAUCGGUGCAAGCAAGUUUCAUUUUACAUUUUACUGUGCUCCCGGAUUCUGUACC